rnacentral:lncRNA from 1 species
GCAAGCGCAGCGCAGGGUCUGGGAAUUGCUUCAUGCAGAGCUACUGGUAAUUAGACUGCCCCCUUUCUGGAUAUCCCAAGAAAUACCUGGGCCAACCCUGUACUGUUACACAUCUAACCCUCAAUGAUACAGCACGCUUAAAAAGGGCAAGAAAUGCUCCCCCUGGUACAAACAAUGAAUUAACAGCUAUCCCCACUGCUGACAAUAGCCAGAAACCGUCUGCUUGCUUGCUACUCAACUCAUUGACAG